ACAUAAUAUCCUCUACAUAUAGAAUAUCAGUAUUUUAGAUAACUAAUCUCCUAAGAAUCAACUAUACAGUGUACACUAAUUGAGCAAGAGUUGUUUUACCCACGCCUGCCAUACCCACAAUGGAAACCACACUACUAUCACCAACACUAUCAUCACUAUCGUUCAUCAGCAAAUGAAGAACAAUCUCUUUAUCACAUUCCCUACCGUAGACGCAAGACUCAUCAACAAGAGAAUUGGUUCUUGGUCUCUCUCUUAUCCCUCUAUCAUUCUCGACUAGACUCAAAGCAUCCUUCAUUGCAACAGCCUCUUCCAAUCUAGCAGUAAGACUCUUUAAUCUGAACUCCAUUUUUGUGCUAAACUUAGCAGUGGAAGGAUUCAAACGAAGAAAGCAAGCUGAAAAAUAUCUCCCUACCUUGCAGGUGGGCGAAGCGGCGUCCGUGUUAGUACAAAACUCCGGUAAGGAAAAAUCUCGAACACACGAUCGGAACUCGAAAAGAAAAAGAAGAAAUAGGACAGGCUCCAAGGCGUGUAUCAAGCCACUAUCUUUAAGGUUAUAUUCGCCCCCACUUAUCUUCAGUGUGCAAACGAGUUCCAAGCAAAUUAACCUCGAGGAUACAAU
rnacentral:lncRNA from 1 species